AAGUCAGGGUGGAGAAAGGGCGACAUAUAUAAAUAAUCAGGAAGAUGACCAGAAUGGAAGCCAUCACAAUCAAAGAGAAGAUGAUAUCUGACAUAAACAGGAUGAGACCAGCUUACCCAGACCAGCAGCCCGCCCUACCAGCCCCUGCAGACACAGAGUGAACAGUGUGGCCAUGUUGAGGAGUCUCUUACAGCUCUGCCACCGUCUUGGCUCUGGACCAGUAACAAAAGAAGCUUUGACCGUUCACUGGUGUGGGUUUGAAGUAACACGUGCUGCAGCGUCUUUAUCGGCUGUCGGACACUUUGACACAGGGAGUGGGAGUUAAACUUUUUCUUCAGAGAUGAAUCUCACACAAAAUGAAAGAUGCUUUGUUGCAGAUUUAACUACUAGCUUCUUUGCAUCUGCAGUUCUUGGGCAGGUACACUACAAAAUUCAAAACAUGUUCCCACUGAGAUACGUAUGUGUCAAAACACCUUAAGUCUAAUUGAUGUUAUCAGAUUUUAUUAGUGCUGACAAGAAUAAAUCCAUUCAUCCAUUUUCUGUAGCAAGAGUGUAAACUGGACUCUGCGCAGACAGAUUAUGGCUGAUAGAAGGUGGAAAAUAAUUCUGUGUACAACUGGUCACACUAGUAGUAUACUGUAGGAGUGUAUGUUGUUUUAUAGCAGCCAGCUGGACGGAGGCCUGACCAGGAGGGUAAACCCAGGACUUAUGGGUACUGGUAUCCAGUCAGAGCUCUCGCAACUCAUUUAAAGGUCAUGGGUUGCAGGUUUACUAUAUGAAUGUUACUGUUGCCUUUUGAUCAAAGCUGUUUAGAGAAUAAAAACAGGUUCUCACCAGUCUGGCGUUUGGCAUCUCAUACACUUUGGAACAAAACUCUGAACUUCUCUGUCACCUUUACAAUAAAAAGACAAGCUAAGAGCACCAGUUAGCUCCAUCAGCAGCUGCCAUUUGCAUUCAGCUUUGCUUUCUCUCCACUAAGUUUGUUUUAUUUGUCAUGUCUUUUUGUCUCCAGGCUCUUUUGUAUGAUGUUGACAAAUGAAGCCAGCGGCCUUGUCUUCAUCGCCCGAGCAGCUCAGGACGGCGAGACAGACUGUCCACACCUCAUUCCUUGAAACGGUGAACUGUCCCUUUAAUUGUUUUGAAGGCCCCUUGUUUCAUGUUUACGUCUGAACAAUGACAUUACAAACGGGGCAGGGGCCCUGACCGGCGCUCUGCCUCUGGGAGGAAGGCGACUGGCUCGACGGCUCGUCCUAGGGAAGCUGCUGUGAAAACCAAAUGGAUGCUUUCAACACCUGGUGUUAGACGACAGCAUUUCCUAAACUCUGAGAUUUCCAGAAAGGAGUUAUCUGACAUGCUACACCCCA